CGCUUGACCCUGCCUUCGUCCCCCUCCCCCCCCCCCUGUAAGCAAACAUGGAAUAGGCUAGUAAUUGGACGUUGCCGAAGUUGGGUGAAGUCUCGUCUUCCGUGCGGUCCCCAAGAUACAGAGCGCGAGCAAAGGAAACUCCAGCCCAUGCUGUCUAGCCCCCGGCGACCUCAGGCGAUUCUUAUGAAACCCCCUUCAAUACUCUUCGCACUCACCCGUGCUCAAAGACAACACUACAUCCUACCAUCAGUGCCGUCUUCGUAUGUCCCACAGUCUCCUCCUAGCAACCUUGUCGCCCCUGGCACUAGGGCUUCCAAUCUCUGUGAUCCCCUGAAGCUUUUCUGAUAACAGCGGUGAUUGCCCAGCGCGCGCUGCUGUUGCCCACUCACCGCCGAUGGAUGAUUCGCUGGUUCGUGUCGACGUUUUCUCUCGACUCUACCUCAAUCACCCCUCCCUGUAACCUAAAAAUUGAAAAAUGAGGACACGAACGGGACAAAGACCGCGAACCGGGCGAACAAGUUACAACUUCAUUACAGACUGGGGCAGCAUGUAUUGUUACCAAACGAUUUCAGCAGAACGCCAUGGUUAACAACUCAGCCCAUUUUAUGACGCAUUUUAUGGCAAGCGUUACCUCUUUCUGUAUACUGAGAUGGACACAACGAUUGUUUCAGAUUGAAACAUCCCGUAAAAACAAUCGAUCUACUUGAAACCAUGUUACCACGCUGACUGAUCUCGCGGAGGUGUCAUCAAGUGGCCGGCUUGAGCCGUGAUUUCGCCAUUCUCGAUUUUUUUUGCAGAUCUGUAUGAAGGAUGGCGUGCAUCAAACAGCGCAGAAAAUAAUCUACGACCUGAAAGACCAUGUUCAUGAAGCGAUUUCUAAAAUUUACGCUGAGUCUUGCGAUCUAAAAUUGCGCUAAAUAGAUCUGGGUGUGGAAGCAGUGAUUG